AAAUCCUUAAGGACAGUGUGCUUACACGCCUCAGGUUUAUUUAACUGUUUAUUAUUUUGUAGGUUUAAUACAAGAAAAGAGGAUUGGAAUAUGUAGGUGACCAAAUUCAACAACAAAAUAUGACUAAAAAUCACAUGCUUGUUUAUGCUUUGAUCAUCUUUCUUUCUCUAUUUCUUGUUCUAAUCAAUGCUGCUAUUCCAUGUGUUACGCAUGAUGAUUGUCCAAAGGAACUUCUCUCUCAAUAUUAUAAGUGCAUAAAUAAAAUUUGUGUGCUCAUUAGAUGAUGUAACAGAGCUCACAUGAUGUCUGCUAAUAAAUAAUGUUUCCUUUGUCA